rnacentral:rRNA from 1 species
CGGUUGAUCCUGCCGGACCCUACUGCUAUCGGGGUGGGACUAAAACAUGCAAGUCGAGCGUCUCCAAAGCCAUGGUUGGAGGCGCGGCGUACGGCUCAGUAACACGUGGCUAACCUGCCCUUGGGACGGGAACACCCCCGGGAAACCACGCACAGACCUUGACCACAUAAACACAAAUUCUCAAAGAAUCCAAAAACCCCAUAACACAAACAAACACUUCACUACACCGCCUUGCCGAUUUCUAAGCUGGCAAAGGCUAUCUCAAACUAACCAAAACCUACACGCAACUUUCUAAGAAUAGAAACUUAAGGCUCUGGCGUAGCCCAAAACUGGGGUUAAUUCCCGAUAGGUGAGGAGGCCUGGAAUGGUUCUUCGCUGAAAAGGCGUUAGAGGCAUGCUCUCUAACGUUGCCUAAGGAUGGGGCCGCGUCCGAUCAGGUUGUUGGUGAGGUAACGGCUCACCAAGCCUAUAACCGGUACGGGCCGUGAGAGCGGAAGCCCGGAGAUGGGCACUGAGAUAAGGGCCCAGGCCCUACGGGGCGCAGCAGUUGCGAAAACUCGCCAAUGCACGAAAGUGUGAGCGGGCUACCCCGAGUGCCGUCCGCUGAGGAUGGCUUUUCCCUGCUGUAAGGAGGCAGAGGAAUAAGGAGAGGGCAAGACUGGUGUCAGCCGCCGCGGUAAUACCAGCUCUCCGAGUGGUAGGGGUGAUUAUUGGGCUUAAAGCGUCCGUAGCCGGCCUAGCAAGUCUUUCGUUAAAUCCAGCAACCUAAUUGUUGGGCCGCGGAGGAUACUGUUAGGCUAGGGGGCGGGAGAGGUCGACGGUAUUCUCGGGGUAGGGGUGAAAUCUUAUAAUCCCGGGAGGACCACCAGUGGCGAAGGCUGUCGGCUAGCACGCGCCUGACGGUGAGGGACGAAAGCUGGGGGAGCGAACCGGAUUAGAUACCCGGGUAGCCCCAGCUGUAAACGAUGCGGGCUAGGUGUUGGGGUGGCUACGAGCCACUUCAGUGCCGCAGGGAAGCCAUUAAGCCCGCCGCCUGGGGAGUACGGCCGCAAGGCUGAAACUUAAAGGAAUUGGCGGGGGACGAC